ACGCUCGACACCUACGGGAGGUAGCAGUGGGGGAUAUUGCACAAUGGGGGAAACCCUGAUGCAGCAACGCCGCGUGAAGGAAGACGGUUUUCGGAUUGUAAACUUCUGUUCUUAGUGACGAUAAUGACGGUAGCUAAGGAGAAAGCUCCGGCUAACUACGUGCCAGCAGCCGCGGUAAUCUGAGCGGGCUGGCAAGGC
rnacentral:rRNA from 1 species